rnacentral:rRNA from 1 species
CCCUUAGAUGUUCUGGGCCGCACGCGUGCUACACUGAGUAAUUCAAUGGGUAAGGGAACGCUAGAGCAUUACCUAAUCUUGAAAUUUGCUCGUGAUGGGGAUCGACGGUUGCAAUUUUCCGUCGUGAACGAGGAAUACCUUGUAGGCGCAUGUCAUCAUCAUGCGCCGAAUACGUCCCUGCCCUUUGUACACACCGCCCGUCGCUCCUACCGAUUGAGGGAUCCGGUGAGGCUCUGGGACCUGGACGGAAAGAGCGUUUCGCUUGUUCUGUUUGGGAAACUUGGUCGAACCUUAUCAUUUAGAGGAAGGAGAAGUCGUAACA